rnacentral:tRNA from 1 species
GGGCCCGUAGCUCAGCCCGGUAGAGCGGCGGGCUUUUAACCCGUAGACCAGAACCGCUGGGCGGAAGUCCCGGGUUCAAAUCCCGGCGGGCCCG